UCAAACUUGGUCAUUUAGAGGAAGUAAAAGUCGUAACAAGGUUUCCGUAGGUGAACCUGCGGAAGGAUCAUCACUGAUUCAGGGGGAGAGCGUGUGUGUGUGUGUGCGUGCGCGUUCACGCACGCGCGCCGCGCCACCCCAACCAAUCUUUUGUGCACGGUUUCACGGUCAACGAGACGCCGCGCGUGUGUUGGCAAGUCGUCCUCCCAGUGUAUGGUGGUGACUACUACUACUUGCCAACCGCAUGCGUCUGUGCGCGCUCUUUGCUUACACAAUCUCUUGUGCAAUCUCUGUCUAACGCGCGCAUUACCUAAAAUAUAUUAACACAACUUUCAACAAUGGAUCUCUUGGCUCUCGCAUCGAUGAAGAACGCAGC
rnacentral:misc_RNA from 1 species